UGGGGAAUAUUGCACAAUGGGCGAAAGCCUGAUGCAGCGACGCCGCGUGAGCGAAGAAGGCCUUCGGGUCGUAAAGCUCUGUCCUAUGGGAAGAUAAUGACGGUACCAUAGGAGGAAGCCCCGGCUAACUACGUGCCAGCAGCCGCGGUAAUACGUAGGGGGCGAGCGUUGUCCGGAAUGACUGGGCGUAAAGGGUGCGUAGGCGGCCAGGUAAGUCAGAUGUGAAAGGCAUAGGCUCAACCUAUGUAAGCAUUUGAAACUGUCUGGCUUGAGUCGAGGAGAGGAAAGUGGAAUUCCUGGUGUAGCGGUGAAAUGCGUAGAUAUCAGGAGGAAUACCAGUGGCGAAGGCGACUUUCUGGACUUGGACUGACGCUGAGGCACGAAAGCGUGGGGAGCAAACAGG
rnacentral:rRNA from 1 species